rnacentral:lncRNA from 1 species
CCAAAAUCUACAAAAUGAUUUAUGACUGUAGCUCCUUUCUAGGCACCAACACUCACCAUGAAAUUGAUGGGAGGAUAGGAACCUAAAUAUGGAUCUUGCCUUGUGUCUUGUUGAUCCCAGUGCUUUGUCUUUAUAGCUGCUUUUUCUCUAACCUUCUCCAUAUUUCCUGGAGUCCUGAUUGACAACUAUUUCAAGGCUCACUUUGUGAUACAAGAAUGAAGGAAGAUAGUUGUUUCUGGGCUCCAACUACUGAGAUUUUGUGUUGACAAAAUGUGGUGUCUAACGUGUCUUGCAGUUUAUAUGGGAGGUCAGUCAUUACUCUGGCUUUGAAGGUGCUCUUGGACUGGUCCUUAUGUGAACUUGGCUGUCUAUCAGCAGCAUGACUACACAGUUUAGAUCAAAUUAGACUGAAGUAAUGGAUAUAUAUGUUAUUAUGUCAUAAAAAUCACUCUAUUCAGGCUAAAACCCAGGAGGACGGAAGCAGACAAAGAGGAAGAAGUCUGAGAAGAAUACAACAAUUCUUUCUUCCAGGAAAGUUUGGAUUGAGCACAGGUGCUGACCAGAGACACUUAGGAAAAGAUUUCUUACCUGAAGAUGUUACUUACAUCUCAUUUCACCAACAUGCUGACUGAAUUAAUAAAUGUAAUCCCCACCAACCUCA